UGUAGGCAGAGGAAGAAAUCGUGUAAGAGCGGUGAGAAUGGGACGAUGGAGAAAUCGUGGCUAUCUAUAUGUGCCUCUAGUACUAGAGGUGGAUAUAUGUGUUAGUGUUUCCCAUGCCUCCCAUUCCUAUCGUUCUUGGGUUCUCCUCCUCUUCUUUUUAACU
rnacentral:pre_miRNA from 1 species